CAGGCCUAACACAUGCAAGUCGAGCGCGCCCUUCGGGGUGAGCGGCGGACGGGUUAGUAACGCGUGGGAAUAUGCCCAAAGGUACGGAAUAGCCUCUGGAAACGGAGAGUAAUACCGUAUGUGCCCUUCGGGGGAAAGAUUUAUCGCCUUUGGAUUAGCCCGCGUUAGAUUAGGUAGUUGGUGGGGUAAUGGCCUACCAAGCCUACGAUCUAUAGCUGGUUUUAGAGGAUGAUCAGCAACACUGGGACUGAGACACGGCCCAGACUCCUACGGGAGGCAGCAGUGGGGAAUCUUGGACAAUGGGGGCAACCCUGAUCCAGCCAUGCCGCGUGAGUGAUGAAGGCCUUAGGGUCGUAAAGCUCUUUCGCCUGUGAAGAUAAUGACGGUAGCAGGUAAAGAAACCCCGGCUAACUCCGUGCCAGCAGCCGCGGUAAUACGGAGGGGGUUAGCGUUAUUCGGAAUUACUGGGCGUAAAGCGCACGUAGGCGGAUCGGAAAGUUGGGGGUGAAAUCCCGGGGCUCAACCCCGGAACUGCCUCCAAAACUAUCGGUCUAGAGUUCGAGAGAGGUGAGUGGAAUUCCGAGUGUAGAGGUGAAAUUCGUAGAUAUUCGGAGGAACACCAGUGGCGAAGGCGGCUCACUGGCUCGAU
rnacentral:rRNA from 1 species